rnacentral:rRNA from 1 species
UACGUAGGGGGCUAGCGUUGUCCGGAAUCAUUGGGCGUAAAGCGCGUGUAGGCGGUCCGGUAAGUCCGCUGUGAAAGUCGGGGGCUCAACCCUCGAAUGCCGGUGGAUACUGUCGGGCUAGAGUGCGGAAGAGGCGAGUGGAAUUCCUGGUGUAGCGGUGAAAUGCGCAGAUAUCGGGAGGAACACCUAUGGCGAAGGCAGCUCGCUGGGACGUUACUGACGCUGAGACGCGAAAGCGUGGGGAGCAAACAGG